rnacentral:lncRNA from 1 species
UCUCCCUCCUCCUGUGGAGGCUGAGAGCCUGGGCAGAAAUGAAAUCAUCUGUGUAUACAAAGACUUUAUAUACAGACAUGCUCAUGGAUGCUGUCUAGACCUGGCCAGACCUGGAACCCAACCAAGUGCUCAUCCGCAGUGCAUAGCUUGUUUGCCAAGAAGGAUGGAAUGAAUGUAAAACUUCAGACACUAAGUUCAAAAGAAUGUUGUCAGAGUUAAAAUUUAAGAAGAGAAGAAACACCCACCUGGUGCUUAGCUCAUCAGCACUGCCAUUACAAAAUGACAGAAGAACAGAAAAUAUUUGCAACACGUAUAGUUGACUCAUCUCUAGAUUAUAUAAAGAUUAUUUGGAACUUAUUAGAAAGGAGAGAAAUACCCCCAAAACAAUUAGAUAUUCAUAUGGUAUAUGUAUGUAUGUAGUUAUCUUUAUAUAUAUCCAUUCAUAUACCUAUAUGAGUACAUAAUAAGCCCAUUCA